rnacentral:sRNA from 1 species
CACUGGUCGAGAGUUAGCACCGCUCUUAUGAUGAGUCCAAGGCAGGACGAAACCAGUG